rnacentral:rRNA from 1 species
GGGUUCACCCAUUGGUCAGGCUUAAUUGUCUGUACUGGUGAGAUGAAUCUCUACCUUCUGAGGAACUUUCAUGCCAUUUAUUUGGUGUGAUUGGAAAUCAGGACUGUUACUUUGAAAAAAUUAGAGUGUUUAAAGCAGGCUAACGUCUGAAUACAUUAGCAUGGAAUAAUGAAAUAGGACGGACUGAUUCUAUUUCGUUGGUUUCUAGGAUCACCGUAAUGAUUAAUAGGGAUAGUUGGG